rnacentral:rRNA from 1 species
ACGGGAGGCAGCAGUGGGGGAAUAUUGCACAAUGGGCGCAAGCCUGAUGCAGCCAUGCCGCGUGUAUGAAGAAGGCCUUCGGGUGUAAAGUACUUUCAGCAGUUGAGGAAGGUGGGUAGUGUUAAUAGCACUAUCAUUUGACGUUAGCUGCAGAAGAACGCACCGGCUAACUCCGUGCCAGCAGCCGCGGUAAUACGGAGGGUGCGAGCGUUAAUCGGAAUUACUGGGCGUAAAGCGCAUGCAGGUGGUUUGUUAAGUCAGAUGUGAAAGCCCGGGGCUCAAACCUCGGAAUUGCAUUUGAAACUGGCAGACUAGAGUACUGUAGAGGGGGUAGAAUUUCAGGUGUAGCGGUGAAAUGCGUAGAGAUCUGAAGGAAUACCGGUGGCGAAGGCGGCCCCCUGGACAGAUACUGACACUCAGACUGCGAAAGCGUGGGGAGCAAACAGGAUUAGAUACCCUGGUAG